GGACCGGCCAUUUAUUGGGCCGUGAAACAGCCCGACCCACUCUCACAGUCUGACACACCAAGGCCAGGGUUGCGGCGGCGCCGCCACCAGACACCCGCACCACAAGCCGCAGGGCGCCGGGCGCAGAGAUGGAGCCGCCGGGUCCCAGUUCUAAGAGGAGGAAGUCGGAUUCGGGGGAGCGAGAGGCCGGCGAGUCCCCGCCGGAGGCCACGGAGGUGCCGAAUCCCCAGCUUGCACCGACGCCAUCUUCCUCCUCUCCACCAAGCGAUGAAGGCGGCGGCGACGACUACAUCAGCGGCCUCCCCGACGCCAUCCUCGGCGAAAUCGUCGCCCUCCUCUCCACCAGGGACGCCGCCCGCGUCAAGACCCUCGCCUCCCGGCAAGGUGGCGCCACAUCUGGCGCGCCGCCCCUCUCAACCUCGACAGCAGCGAGCUCCCCGACGCCGACGGGGCCCUCGUCGGAGCCGUCUCCCGUAUCCUCGCUGACCACCCCGGCCCCGGCCUCCGCUUCUGCAUCCCGUCGCACCUCGUCUUCAACCGCCCCGUCACUGUGGAGGCCUGGCUGCGCUCCCCGGCGCUCGACGGCCUCCAGGAGCUUGACCUCCGUGUGGCUACCUUCAGCAAGCUCGACCCUCCGUGUGGCUACCUUCAGCAAGCUCGACCUCGUGAUGCCAAGGUUGAAGCGCUUCACUUCCCCCGGCUCACGCAUCUCACACUUCAAGAUGUCAGCAUGUCCGGUUACCUUUUCAAAGGCUAAGAAAAUGCUAUAUCCGGCUAUACUCUUAGCUAACUCAUUUAGCUGUUUUGCAAAUCAAAUUCACAGUUUUAGAAUAUUCAGUACAUCAUCAAUUCAUCAUGUAGAAAAACAACAUAGGACUUCAACUUCAUGCUUUCACAAAUGGUUAGAGAGCUUGGCCAGCUAUUUAUACAUGGUUCUAUUUUGGGCCUAAAUGAUGCACUGUGUUUAGCAGGCCGGCCAGCGACAGCGACCCAUUCGAUCUCCAUUCUCCAGUCAAAAUUUAGCGGGCUAAGAGAUGGUAAUUUAGCUGAUUUAGCUGGCUAUAGCGGGUUAUUAGCGGGUUAUCCUACUUAGCGCCAAAUGGACCUUCUCCUAGCGUUUAUGCUCCCAAAAAGUUAAAUCCGGCUAUAGCGGCAGCUAUAGCUGGUUAUUUAAAACCUUGCUCCCUGCACACCAUGAUUUCCAGUUCCAGCUGCCCUGUCCUGGAAUACUUGCUGCUCGACGACUGCUGUGGGUGCCACCAGCUCAUGAUAAGCUCAAAUAGCCUCAGAAGCAUUGCCUUCGGUGCUAAACACCAUACUGGCACGCCCCGGUUAAACGAAGUUAUCCUUGUCAACGCCCCUUGCCUUGAAAGGUUCCUCCAUAAUAACAUAGAUGUGUCUGUAAUUGUGGCGCCGAAACUAGAUGCCUUAGGCUGUCAUAAUGAUGAGCUACACUAGUCCAGAAACAAUUUGUGUUGACAGGGCCUAUUUACCGUGCUGGCAGGCGUAGUUGGAACCCGCCAGCCCAAAUCCACCAGGGCCCACUUGACUAGCGCCCGCCAGCACAGAAGGUAUUUGUUCUGGCGGGCCUCUUAAUCGCCCGCCAGUAAAGACUAAAAGCUGUGAAGACCAAGAAGGCUACAAAUUGACCGAAAAGGUACAAGAACAACUAAAAGCAGUGAAGAUCAAGAAUGCAAAAGAUGACAUCAAAGAAGAGGCGCACAAAAAAGAAAGGCACAAGGUAUCCGCCUACAUUGCAAAAGUGAUGCUGAAGAGGGUUGAUAAGGAUUGGCUCAUGACUCCAUAUGAAUUUGACAACCAUUGGAUUGCUAUAAUGAUUAUGCCCAAGAUCGGAAGAGCAGUGGUCCUAGACUCAGCCGACUAUGACCAAAAAUGAUACAGGGAGUUCAUAUGCAUUUUACAAAACGUGUACCACCUCUACGUCAUGAAACGCAGGCCACAUCCACCGGACAGGACGGAAGUUAUGAACAUUCGAUAUCAUUUCCAUUGCCACAAGCAACCUCCUGGCUCGGUGCUAUGUGGCUACUACGUCUGCGAGUUCCUUAGAAACAGCGGGAGGUACCGAACAAACUCUGAAGACAUGCAGGAAAUACCUGUGGCCAACAAUAGAUUGGGCGACACAGAGAUCGACAACAUUAUCGCUGACAUUGCAAGGUUCAUCCAAUGCGAGAUUUGUCAUGUGGCGGGCAAAUACUUUGACCACGGUGGGGUGCUGGCUUUGGAUGAGAACAACAACCUUAGCAACGGGAUAAAGGACAAUUAAUGGUUGUUUUUCUUUGAACAAUUGGUGUAAAUAUUAAUAUUAUUGUAAACAUGAUGGUUGCUCUUGUUACUAAAUAUUAGUUGCUUGGAAACAUUAGUCAUUUUAA